rnacentral:rRNA from 1 species
AAAAUGACUCUCGGCAACGGAUAUCUAGGCUCU